rfam:Stegodyphus mimosarum contig51589, whole genome shotgun sequence.
AUUAAAUGAUGAAUAUUUGCUUGGUCCGUGUUUCUGAUCUUGGUGAUGCUUGGCAAAUGUCUGAUAAC